rfam:Oryza rufipogon genomic scaffold, chr08
UAUAAGGGAUUUUGAGUUUUUGUGUGAACUGUUUGACCACUCGUCUUAUUAAAAAAUUUUUGGAAUUAUUAUUUAUUUUUUUUUGACUUACUUUAUUAUCUAAAGUACUUUAAGCGCAACUUUUCGUUUUUUAUAUUUGUACAAAUUUUUGAAUAAGACGAGUGGUCAAACAGUUCAACCAAAAACUCAAAAAUCCCUUAUA